ACAGUACAAACUGAGCAGGCGAUGUCCCCGUUUGGACGGGGGCGUGGGGCCGGGCCGCGAAGUCAGCGGCAGCAGAUCACGGUUCAAACCGGCGCAUCUGCGGGACAGUG
rfam:Synergistetes sp. SGP1 draft genome.